ACCAUGUUCUACUAUUUUUUAAUAGAGACAUGAAUAAAGUGAGAAUUUUUUUGUUUGGAUUGUUUCUUUCAUUUGUAGCUUAGAAACCAAGAUGUGACAAUCCAUAACAUAAGGAGGCAACUUUCUGCAUUUUCGGAUGCUUUUAUGAAAGUCCAAGGCCAUGGUCAGUUGGACAAUAAAGAAAUAUUGACAGGAAGUGAUGAGCCGAGGCAACAACUGAACACUUUCAAGCAUAAAGUUCAAACUUUGGAAGAACAGAAUUUGCACCAGGAUGGGGAACUUAAAAGGCUAAGACAGGAGCAAC